rnacentral:rRNA from 1 species
CCCGCUGAACUUAAGCAUAUCAAUAAGCGGAGGAAAAGAAACCAACAGGGAUUACCCUAGUAACGGCGAGUGAAGCGGUAACAGCUCAAAUCUAAAAUCUGGCCUUCACGGGUCCGAGUUGUAAUUUGUAGAGGAUGUUUCGGACAAGGCUGUGGUUUAAGUUUCUUGGAACAGAACGUCACAGAGGGUGAGAAUCCCGUCUAGAACCGAUGGCCGCGUCCAUGUGAAACACCUUCGACGAGUCGAGUUGUUUGGGAAUGCAGCUCAAAAUGGGUGGUAAAUUUCAUCUAAAGCUAAAUAUUGGCCAGAGACCGAUAGCGCACAAGUAGAGUGAUCGAAAGAUGAAAAGUACUUUGAAAAGAGAGUUAAACAGUAUGUGAAAUUGUUGAAAGGGAAGCGCUUGCAACCAGACCUGUGUGUGGCGGUUCCCCCGGUCUUCUGACCGGGUUAUUCUGUCAUAACCAGGCCAGCAUCGAUUUAGGUGGCCAGUUAAAGGCUCUGGGAAGGUAUCUACCUUCGGGUCGACUUACAGCCCAGGGUGUAAUGUGGCCUACCUGGAUCGAGGAACGCGCUCUUUGCCCGGAUGUUGGCGUAAUGGUUGCAAGCGGCCCGUCUUGAAACACGG